rnacentral:rRNA from 1 species
CGCAUCUGUGCAUGCAGCAUAUCAAUAAGCGGAGGAAAAGAAACUAACAAGGAUUCCCCUAGUAACGGCGAGUGAAGCGGGAAGAGCUCAAAUUUGAAAUCUUAAAGGGUUUCCCUUUACGAAUUGUAGUUUAAAGAAGUGUUUUCUGUUGAGGUUUUGGUAAAAAGUUCUUUGGAAUAGGACAUCAUAGAGGGUGAGAAUCCCGUAUUUGACCUUUACUUUCAACUUUGUGAUACACUUUCAAAGAGUCGGAUUGUUUGGGAAUGCAGUCCAAAAUGGGUGGUAAAUUUCAUCUAAAGCUAAAUAUUGGCGAGAGACCGAUAGCGAACAAGUACCGUGAGGGAAAGAUGAAAAGAACUUUGAAAAGAGAGUUAAACAGUACGUGAAAUUGUCAAAAGGGAAGCGUUUGACACCAGUGUUGUUUUUCUGAAAAUCAAUUAAAGAACUGUUUAUGCUAAGCUGUUUAGACUUUAUCAGCUAUCUGUUUAGUUUUGAGCUUUUCUUUAAUGCACUUUUCAGUUAACAAGUCAACAUCAAUUUCUUUUGCUGUAAAAAAGCUUGAGGAAGGUGGCUUGAGAUUCGUCUUAAGUGUUUAUAGCCUCUUGCCUAUGCAGUCGGAGAGAUUGAGGUCUGCAGCGUAGAUCCUUCGGGGCUAAAUGCAUUUGUGCUAAGUUAUAGCAUUUUAUAGACAACUUGUUGACUAUGAUUUGUCUUGUAGCUUACUCGCUUAUGUUAUUUUACCUACGCUUAGGAUGUUGACAGCAGUAUAGACUGU